rnacentral:rRNA from 1 species
GACGAACGCUGGCGGCGUGCCUAAUACAUGCAAGUAGGACGCAGUUGCGAACGGGUGAGUAACGCGUAGGUAACUGCCUAUUAGAGGGGGAUAACUAUUGGAAACGAUAGCUAAUACCGCAUACUAGUAGAUGGACCUGCGUUGUAUUAACUAGUAGGUAGGGUAAUGGCCUAACUAGGCGACGAUACAUAGACGACCGGAGGGGGUGGACGGCCACACUGGGACUGAGACACGGCCCAGACUCCUACGGGAGGCGGCAGUAGGGAAUCUUCGGCAAUGAGGGGAACCCUGACCGGGCAACGCCGCGUGAGUGAAGAAGGUUUUCGGAUCGUAAAGCUCUGUUGUUAAGGAAGCGAUACUUAACCAGAAAGGGACGGCUAACUACGUGCCAGCCGCCGCGGUAAUUC